AUACUGCUGAGGAGUUCCACACCAGGACGAAACGGCCGUCCAGUGC
rnacentral:hammerhead_ribozyme from 1 species